GCCUUCUUUAAUCCUGUGAAGUAAAAGAAUAGGGAUUUUCCUCUGAAGAAAGGAAGGGAAAGCUUGACAAGUGGGAGGAGCUCAGAAGGGGGUAAACCUUUGUUUUAUUGCUAUUUGAAAUCUGUAAUUGAUAUUAUAAAACUUCAUGAUGAAAUAAGCUCUUCCAGCCCUUCAGAGACCACAGCCUCCAAAGUUAUUUUGCUAACAUUUGCUCCUAGGCAAACCCCAUAAAUGUACAAUACAACAAUGUGCUAGAACUGCCUGGAUGACCUUCAGCUGAGCAGUUCCACUCCCUGUGCAGGUGAUCAGCACCAUCCUCACAAGUCCUGGGUCUUAUUGCUGGUCUCUUUACAGCAACCAAUUCUGAAAUAACGAGACACUGAAAGCAGCAGGUGGAUAUUUGACUAGCUUUCUAGAAUUGUCUAAGUUUCUUUGAACACUUUUGGGAUAUCUUGCAAAGUAUUAGAGUUUGGCCUUUAACGCUUGGUCCUGCAGCCUUUGAAACCCUGGCCAGUGAAAACACCUAUUUGAGCGUAUUUGGAGAAGUGCCCAGAGGCUAUGAAUGAAACUGCUGAACAUUUCACAGAUACUGCAAGGGGCAAUUUCUGCCCCAUGCAGUUUACAGCAAAAAAUAAGCAAGACAGCCAAAAGCAGGAGGCAAUAACCAAGGGAGGGAUUUGGCAUGAAAUCUGCUGCAAGAACAUGCAAGUGCGGGAAGCAACAGAGAGCUCUGCUGCUGCAGAUUUCCGUCAGGGUUAG
rnacentral:lncRNA from 1 species